GACGAACGCUGGCGGCGUGCUUAACACAUGCAAGUCGAACGGAAAGGCCCCCUUGUGGGGUACUCGAGUGGCGAACGGGUGAGUAACACGUGAGUAACCUACCCUUGACUUUGGGAUAACUUCAGGAAACUGGGGCUAAUACCGGAUAGGAGCUCCUGCUGCAUGGUGGGGGUUGGAAAGUUUUGGCGGUUGGGGAUGGACUCGCGGCUUAUCAGCUUGUUGGUGGGGUAGUGGCUCACCAAGGCUUUGACGGGUAGCCGGCCUGAGAGGGUGACCGGCCACAUUGGGACUGAGAUACGGCCCAGACUCCUACGUGAGGCAGCAGUGGGGAAUAUUGCACAAUGGGCGGAAGCCUGAUGCAGCAACGCCGCGUGCGGGAUGACGGCCUUCGGGUUGUAAACCGCUUUCGCCUGUGACGAAGCGUGAGUGACGGUAAUGGGUAAAGAAGCACCGGCUAACUACGUG
rnacentral:rRNA from 1 species